GUUUUUGUUGUUUUUGUUAUAACACAGUACAAUUUAUUGAUUUCAGCAUUUUAAGUUAUAUCCUAUUUUGUACUAUGACUUGUUUUGUUUUUCUUAAACAUAUGUUUGUCCAUUGAUACCUUAUUGUUAUCAAAAGGAGUUGGGUUCACUAAAUCAUGAUUUUGGGCCUUAAAAUCUGAUUUUUUUUUCACUACCAUUAUGUGCUGAAAAUUUAAUGAAAAGUCCAAUAAUUUCAGUACAACAUCACACAUUUAGCAAUACAUACAUAUAAAAUUUACUUUAACAAUUUAAGUUAAAAAAAAACAAGAAGUUUGUUUUCUGGCUCUACUCCUUUUUUAACAUUUUUGCGAAAAAAAAGUUUUUAGAUGAUUAACUGUUUAUCACUGACUUCUAAAUUAAAGCUUUUGAUUUGACUUUAUAAACAAUUUUCUGCUUCAAAAUCAAACCCAGAUUUAUUUUAUUUAAAUCAUAAAUAUUUAUCAAUUUUAAGUACUAAUAAUCAUCUGAAAGUAUUUUUUAAGACAGUAUAUUUGGUGAUGAACUUCAAGAAGUAUGUAAGAUCUGUUAUUUCAUUCAAAAUAUUGGAAUAUUGAGAUAGCACACACUGGUGUGUCUUGUCUGCUUUACUGACCGCUACUCCUCUGUUAAGAUUUCCACAGACUCGACAAAAACUGGUGUUAUUUUCACAUUCUAAUUUAUUUGUUUUAUUUAAGGAAUGACUGUAAUAUUUUUUCUGUCUAUGAAGAAAUAACAUUAAAAAUUUGGUGCACACUGAAUAACGCGCGUAGCGGGUUAUUUAACAGUGUGCACCACAUUUUGUAUGUUAUUUCGAAUAGACAGAAAAAAUCUUACAGUCAUUUCUUAUAAUUUAAUUCUAAAUUCCAUUUUAAACCGUAGAAAACCAUGAAAAAAUGUUGAUGACGUCACGGUCACAAGACUAAAUUAUGUCUAUGGGCUCAUAACAAAAUAACGUCAGCCAAUCAGAAGACGUGUUACAUCCAAAAUUAAAUUAUUUAUGAAAUAAAUAGAAUGAUAUAUAGUCUACUCUUUUAGUGGCGAAAUAUCAAAAUACAAAGAUAGAUGUUUGUUACUAAUUAUUUUGACCUUAUAGGUUAAUGCUCAUUUUAGUUUGGUACAGUAUUAUUUAAUUCUAAGUCAAUUUAUUUUUUAUAUAACUUUUUUAUUUCUGUAGAAUGUCUUUUUUUUUGUCAUAUUGUCAGGAAAAACAUUUAUUUGUC
rnacentral:lncRNA from 1 species